rnacentral:rRNA from 1 species
GUCUGCUGUGAAAUCCCGAGGCUCAACUUCGGGUCUGCAGUGGGUACGGGCAGACUAGAGUGCGGUAGGGGAGAUUGGAAUUCCUGGUGUAGCGGUGGAAUGCGCAGAUAUCAGGAGGAACACCGAUGGCGAAGGCAGAUCUCUGGGCCGUAACUGACGCUGAGGAGCGAAAGGGUGGGGAGCAAACAGGCUUAGAUACCCUGGUAGUCCACCCCGUAAACGUUGGGAACUAGUUGUGGGGUCCUUUCCACGGAUUCCGUGACGCAGCUAACGCAUUAAGUUCCCCGCCUGGGGAGUACGGCCGCAAGGCUAAAACUCAAAGGAAUUGACGGGGACCCGCACAAGCGGCGGAGCAUGCGGAUUAAUUCGAUGCAACGCGAAGAACCUUACCAAGGCUUGACAUACACCGGAAUGGGCCAGAAAUGGUCAGCUCUUUGGACACUGGUGUACAGGUGGUGCAUGGUUGUCGUCAGCUCGUGUCGUGAGAUGUUGGGUUAAGUCCCGCAACGAGCGCAACCCUCGUUCUAUGUUGCCAGCACGUUAUGGUGGGAACUCAUGGGAUACUGCCGGGGUCAACUCGGAGGAAGGUGGGGAUGACGUCAAAUCAUCAUGCCCCUUAUGUCUUGGGCUUCACGCAUGCUACAAUGGCCGGUA